rnacentral:rRNA from 1 species
GGAUGAACGCUAGCGGCAGGCUUAACACAUGCAAGUCGAAGGGCAGCGGGGGAGUGCUUGCACUCCCGCCGGCGACUGGCGCACGGGUGAGUAACACGUAUGCAACCUACCUCUGACAGGGGGACAACCUUCCGAAAGGGAGGCUAAUCCCGCAUAUAUUCCUUGAGGGCAUCCUUGAGGGAGGAAAACUACGGUGGUUGGAGAUGGGCCUGCGUCUGAUUAGCUAGUUGGUGAGAUAACAGCCCACCAAGGCGACGAUCAGUAGCCGGUCUGAGAGGAUGAACGGCCACAUUGGGACUGAGACACGGUCCAGACUCCUACGGGAGGCAGCAGUGGGGAAUCUUCCGCAAUGGGCGAAAGCCUGACGGAGCAACGCCGCGUGAGUGAUGACGGCCUUCGGGUUGUAAAGCUCUGUGAUCGGGGACGAACGGUCAGCAGACGAAUACUCUGCUGAAGUGACGGUACCCGAAUAGCAAGCCACGGCUAACUACGUG